rnacentral:rRNA from 1 species
UACGUAGGGUGCGAGCGUUGUCCGGAAUUAUUGGGCGUAAAGGGCUCGUAGGCGGUUUGUCGCGUCGGGAGUGAAAUCCACUGGCUUAACUGGUGGCUUGCUUUCGAUACGGGCAGACUGGAGGUAUGCAGGGGAGAACGGAAUUCCUGGUGUAGCGGUGAAAUGCGCAGAAUAUCAGGAGGAACACCGGUGGCGAAGGCGGUU